GGAUCAGUAGCUCAGUUGGUAGAGCAGAAGACUCUUAAUCUUUUGGUCGCGGGUUCGAGUCCCGCCUGAUCCA
rnacentral:tRNA from 1 species